rnacentral:rRNA from 1 species
CCUACGGGGGGCUGCAGUGGGGAAUAUUGGACAAUGGGCGAAAGCCUGAUCCAGCCAUGCCGCGUGUGUGAAGAAGGCCUUCGGGUUGUAAAGCACUUUCAGUGGGGAAGAAAGCCUUGGGGCUAAUACCCUCGAGGAAGGACAUCACCCACAGAAGAAGCACCGGCUAACUCCGUGCCAGCAGCCGCGGUAAUACGGAGGGUGCGAGCGUUAAUCGGAAUUACUGGGCGUAAAGCGCGCGUAGGCGGUCUGAUAAGCCGGUUGUGAAAGUCCCGGGCUCAACCUGGGAACGGCAUCCGGAACUGUCAGGCUAGAGUGCAGGAGAGGAAGGUAGAAUUCCCGGUGUAGCGGUGAAAUGCGUAGAGAUCGGGAGGAAUACCAGUGGCGAAGGCGGCCUUCUGGACUGACACUGACGCUGAGGUGCGAAAGCGUGGGUAGCAAACAGGAUUAGAUACCCCAGUAGUC